UGCUAUCUAUCAAUUUUGUAGGUUGAUGGGUACUUUCACAAUGAGGAAGAAACACAAUAUAAAAAGAUUAUCUGGGAGGAAAUGAACAAAGAGUACCUUGAGGAACAAGCAGCCAAGGAAGCUUUGGCAGCUGAAUUGGCAGCUAGAGGGAUUGAUCCAGAAGCGGGAAAGAAAAAACGAAAACGUAAUGAAGACAUGAAGAGCUCGACACCUGCUGAAACACCAGCAGAAGCCACGUGCAACAUGCUGAAACGGAAGGGACUUGGUUCAAAGAUCAAUGUGGGAGCUGUUGACGAAUUGUACAAGGUAUGCCUGUUUGCUUAUGCUUGAAACGUAGAAUCCACAAACUGUAUACUGCCAUGAGUCUGAAUGGUUUAUACUCCCCUCCAUUCCAAAUUGUAAAGCAUUUUUC